rnacentral:rRNA from 1 species
UGGGGAAUUUUCCGCAAUGGGCGAAAGCCUGACGGAGCAAUACCGCGUGAGGGAUGACGGCCUACGGGUUGUAAACCUCUUUUUUCAAGGAGGAAAAAUUUCAAAGAGAAAUCAUGACGUGUACUUGAAGAAUAAGCAUCGGCUAACUCCGUGCCAGCAGCCGCGGUAAGACGGAGGAUGCAAGUGUUAUCCGGAAUCACUGGGCGUAAAGCGUCUGUAGGUGGUUUCGUAAGUCAACUGUUAAAUCUUGGGGCUUAACCUCAAAACUGCAGUCGAAACUACUAGACUAGAGUAUAGUAGGGGUAAAGGGAAUUUCCAGUGGAGCGGUGAAAUGCGUAGAGAUUGGAAAGAACACCGAUGGCGAAGGCACUUUACUGGGCUAUUACUAACACUGAGAGACGAAAGCUAGGGUAGCAAAUGGG